ACACACGUCUGUCGCAUUGAGUCAAUUCUCGUUCCCUUCUCCUUCAUCCAUAUUGCUUGACGUUCCUUACUUGUGCUAGCCAUGCGGCCUCGUUAGCGCAGUAGGUAGCGCGUCAGUCUCAUAAUCUGAAUGUCAUGAGUUCAACCCUCAUAUGGGGCAUGGCAGUCUUUUCCCUAACCUCUUCAAUCAAAAAUGUUUUUCGCCACUUGGACAUGAACAUGCAUCUGGCCCAUUGAGUCAAUUCUCCGCUUGACUUUCCCUCCUCAUUCAUAUCGCUUUACAUUUGUUACUUUUAUGAACAUGCGGUCUCGUUAGCGCAGUAGGUAGCGCGUCAGUCUCAUCAUCUGAAAGUCAUGAGUUCAACCCUCAUACGGGGCAUGGAAGUCUUUUCCCAAACCUCUUCAGUUGAAAUUGGUUUUCACCACUUGAACACGAACACGCGUCUGUCGCAUUGAGUCAAUUCUCGUUCCCUUCUCCUUCAUCCAAAUUGCUUGACAUUCAUUACUUGUGCUAGCCAUGCGGCCUCGUUAGCGCAGUAGGUAGCGCGUCAGUCUCAUAAUCUGAAGGUCAUGAAUUCAACCCUCAUACGGGGCAUGGCGGUCUUUUCCCAAACCUCUUCA